AACGAACGCUGGCGGCAGGCCUAACACAUGCAAGUCGAGCGCCCCGCAAGGGGAGCGGCGGACGGGUGAGUAACGCGUGGGAACGUACCCUUUGCUACGGAAUAGCCUCGGGAAACUGGGAGUAAUACCGUAUGUGUCCUUCGGGAGAAAGAUUUAUCGGCAAGGGAUCGGCCCGCGUUGGAUUAGGUAGUUGGUGGGGUAAUGGCCUACCAAGCCGACGAUCCAUAGCUGGAUUGAGAGGAUGAUCAGCCACACUGGGACUGAGACACGGCCCAGACUCCUACGGGAGGCAGCAGUGGGGAAUCUUAGACAAUGGGCGCAAGCCUGAUCUAGCCAUGCCGCGUGAGCGAUGAAGGCCUUAGGGUUGUAAAGCUCUUUCAGGGGGGAAGAUAAUGACUGUACCCCCAGAAGAAGCCCCGGCUAACUCCGUG
rnacentral:rRNA from 1 species